UUCCCCUUGCUUCUACCGCGGUUGCCGCAUCUCCCUGCUUCAACCUCUAUGUCGCCGUGCCCUGGGAUACAUCCGCCGCCGUCCCUGGAUCCUCCCACGCCCACCACCCCACUGUCCUCCGACACCACAGGCGUGGCCUAGGCGCACCGGAGCCCAGGGGCGAAAUUGGGCCUGGGGCAACUGGGGCUGUAGCCCCAGGCGUGGCCCAACUAGCACCUAAACACAUAGUUGCCAAUAUUUGAGAAUUUGUUAUACAUAGAAGCCCAGCCCCAGGCUUCACAUCGGCCUCACGUACACGUACAAGGCUUCAGCAAGCUCUUUCUUCUUUGAGCACGGCUGUUUCCAGCCGCCUUCAACAGCCGCGACCCGCUGGAUCAGAUGGAUGCUCACGUGUGGGAGCGAUGCUGCUCCGGCGGGCUCCUUCUUCCUCGAGCGUGGCAUGUCAAUAACAGUCUCCUUGUUCUCGUUCCCUCCUCCAUUCCCGAGCACGACUUCGACCCCCGGUGAAGCGCCCCGCUGCCGACUAGGAUCCCCCACCAAAGGUACCUUCCUUCCCCUUGCUUCUACCGCGGUUGCCGCAUCUCCCUGCUUCAACCUCUAUGUCGCCGUGCCCUGCGAUACAUCCGCCGCCGUCCCUGGAUCCUCCCACGCCACCACCCCACUGUCCUCCGACACCACAGGCGUGGCCUAGGCGCACCGGAGCCCAGGGGCGAAAUUGGGCCUGGGGCAACUGGGGCUGUAGCCCCAGGUGUGGCCCAACUAGCACCUAAACACAUAGUUGCCGAUAUUUGAGAAUUUGUUAUACAUAGAAGCCCAGCCCCAGGCUUCACAUCGGCCUCACGUACACGUACAAGGCUUCAGCCCAUUAGCCCCACUCCAGUCCAUCGAUCGGAGCAGAAAACCAAUCGCGGACUGCAAGUUGACCAUUCGAUCUGUCGCUCAUUCGUCAAGAAAAAGAAAAUCCCUCUCCGAUCGGCAACAGAGAAACCCCCGCCUCGCUCGACUGCGCUGCGCGCCUGCGCCGCCACCUUCGUCAGUUAUCAACUCGCGAUUCCCCGCCACGCCGGCCGCCGGAUCCGGCGUCCUUGCCACCUGCCUCUCCUUCUGAUCUUCUCCAAAUAUUGAAAUUACAGUGCACACACACUGCCGCACAGGAGAUUAGAAAUCCAAGAUGAUGAGGAACCGUUCAAUUAAAUCUUUUUUCCAGGAUUGAGGAUAUUAAGAUUAUUUGGUGCUAUCAAAAAAAUGAGGAAACGCAAAGGGUUACAACCUCUUGCAUUCACGAUAAUGCUCCCGGUCCUUCUACUAUCGCUGGUGAAGAAAUGAUGGCCUCGAAUUAAGCAAAUCUUCAAUAAUUUGGUACCAAACAAUGUUUGCAAUGAUGCACUUUAUUAAACUAUUUGUUUUACAUGAUUUCCUCUCGUGAAAUAAUGAAAUUAUAUUUUGUUUUUAA